rnacentral:rRNA from 1 species
UACGUAGGGUGCAAGCGUUAUCCGGAAUUAUUGGGCGUAAAGAGCUCGUAGGCGGUUUGUCGCGUCUGCUGUGAAAACUGGAGGCUCAACCUCCAGCCUGCAGUGGGUACGGGCAAACUAGAGUGCGGUAGGGGAGAUUGGAAUUCCUGGUGUAGCGGUGGAAUGCGCAGAUAUCAGGAGGAACACCGAUGGCGAAGGCAGAUCUCUGGGCGUAACUGACGCUGAGGAGCGAAAGCAUGGGGAGCGAACAGG